rnacentral:lncRNA from 1 species
UUUUUAAAUUUUUGUUAAAUUCGCCAAAAAUUUUAUCAAAUUUAAAAACUUAACUACACCUUUGGAUAACUUUAAAAAUUUAAAUAAUAUAAAUAAAACAUAAAAUUUAAGUAAAUAUUAGUAUAAAAAAUGGGUAAUAGUAUAAAAAUUGGGUAAAAGUAUACAAAAUGUAUCUGAACUAUGAAAUCAUUUUAAGUCAGCUAUCCGAGCUUUUAGAUUUUUUUUUGAAUCGGUCAAUAAUAUUAUAACUUAAAUUUUAAUCUAAUUAUUUAUUUUAAUACAUUUAUAAUUAUGAGAAUUAUAUAAAGUAUACUAAGUAAAUUUAUAAAAAUAAACGACGGAUUGAAAUUUUAAAAUUAAAGUGUCGUUCACCGACUCGAAUCCGAGUU